rnacentral:ncRNA from 2 species
GGUUGAACAAAUAUUAAUUUGUUUUCAAGAGCAUUUGAAUUUCUGGGGUGGGAAAUU